rnacentral:rRNA from 1 species
UACGUAGGGUGCAAGCGUUAAUCGGAAUUACUGGGCGUAAAGCGUGCGCAGGCGGUUUUGUAAGUCUGUCGUGAAAUCCCCAGGCUCAACCUGGGAAUUGCGAUGGAGACUGCAAGGCUAGAAUCUGGCAGAGGGGGGGUAGAAUUCCACGUGUAGCAGUGAAAUGCGUAGAGAUGUGGAGGAACACCGAUGGCGAAGGCAGCCUCCUGGGCCAGCACUGACGCUCAUGCACGAAAAGCGUGGGGGAGCAAACAGG